rnacentral:rRNA from 1 species
GUGGGGAAUCUUGCGCAAUGGGCGAAAGCCUGACGCAGCCAUGCCGCGUGAAUGAUGAAGGUCUUAGGAUUGUAAAAUUCUUUCACCGGGGACGAUAAUGACGGUACCUACAGAAGAAGCCCCGGCUAACUUCGUGCCAGCAGCCGCGGUAAUACGAAGGGGGCUAGCGUUGUUCGGAUUUACUGGGCGUAAAGCGCACGUAGGCGGAUUGGUCAGUUAGAGGUGAAAUCCUGGAGCUCAACUCCAGAACUGCCUUUAAUACUGCCAGUCUAGAGGCCGGAAGAGGUGAGUGGAACUCCUAGUGUAGAGGUGGAAUUCGUAGAUAUUAGGAAGAACACCAGUGGCGAAGGCGGCUCACUGGUCUGGUACUGACGCUGAGGUGCGAAAGCGUGGGGAGCAAACAGGAUUAGAAACCCGAGUAGUCC